rnacentral:snRNA from 1 species
AUCGCUUUCGGCCUUUUGGCUAAGAUCAAGGUAUAUCUUUUUAUCAGUUUAAUAUCUGAUACGUCCUCUAUCCAUGAUCAAGUCUAUUACAGUGGAUUUUUGGAGCCGGGAGAUGGAAUAGGAGCUUGCUCCGUCCACUCCGCGCAUCGACCUGGUAUUGCAGUACUUCCAGGGGAACGGUGCACGCUCC